UGUGGUGGCUGAAAAAAAAAUGUUGAUUGGCCAAGCCCAAGUCAAUUAUUCUUCUAUUGCAAGUUUUAUUUUGACACGGCCAAGCCAAAUGUUGAAACUGAAAGAACAGUCUCCUAGUCUAGCCUGUACUCUGCACAUCAUUGGUCCUGUCAAAACAACCUUUAUCAAUUGUUUACUAAAACUUUUUCUUAGGCAAUUUUGUUUAAUUGAUGAUAGAGAAAUGGAAAAUCGACAUUCGGUGGACCAUGAUGAUUGUGAAAUCAGUGUUCAAGUUUGUAGUUUCUUUGUUUCAUGGCAGUUCUCUCUCUCCCUCCCCCACGCGCACCCCGCCUCUCUUUUCUAAUGCUGCUUAGUUUGUGAUUUUGAUCAUAGUCCUUGGUAGAGACGCUUGCAAGAUUGCAAUGGUGCACCAAGAAGAUGCUGGCCUGAACGUCAAGAUGGCAAAACUGGCUUUUGCAAAGGGUAUAUGGAGUUAUGUAUGUAAGAUGGACAAUGCAUUGUGUAAAUACCCUCCUGCCCACCGUAUAAGCACAAACUUGGCUGUGACUGCUCUCUAAUUCAAAAGGUUCAUUAUCCAAUAGAAGCCUUUCAGAGUGUUCCAAUAGCUGAUUCCAAAGUGCAGCUUCUAGAAAUACAUGCAGGAUGCAAGCUCUGGUUGAGGACUAAUUUUCAGUGGAGAUAUUUUCUCUAUGUCGGUAUUUCAGUAUACUAAUGAGGAAAAAAGCUCUCAAGGUUAGUUCAUUUUCACUUAAAACAUCGAAUAACUAGAUAAAUCAGCCAGUAUGUACAUUGAUCAGUUGGUAGUUUUUUGUCUUUAUCUCGUUUUUCUAUAGUGGAGCCUGAAUUCAUAGAUAAAUCCACUGAUAUUUCCAUGGGAUGUGUCUUGCAUUUGAGCAUCCACAUAAGCAAAAACAAUCCCAACAAAAACAAGACUGAUUCAAUUCCAUCUUCAAUAGAUAACAAGGAUUUAUGACUUUGAAAAUGAAAGAGAGAGGCUCAUUAUGGAGAAGGACACAGUCAUUCAAGAGCAUGCUUC